GCCAGAGUGGCGUAGUGGUUUGAGCCUUGGACUAUGACACUGGAGCCCAGGGUUCGAAUCCCAGCUCGGUCA
rnacentral:tRNA from 1 species